AGCAGGAGACCCCACAUGUAGUCUGCUUCUACUUCUGCAGAGACCAUCCCUGACUGACACAAGACCCACAUGAUCAUGGGCACAAGGUCAUCAGCAUCACCUGAACCAGAAGUGUUUCCAUUCUCAUACAUCUGAAAGAGAUGAACGGCGCCGGAUCGCUGUAAGUCAGGUAGGAACCAGAUGGGGUAGCUUUUGAUGAGUCGCUCCUCCAACUGGAUGAGGCACGGCUCACACUCCGACCCAUCCCCGCUGCCAGUCUGCAGACAAGAUCCCACCAGCUUCAGUCAGGCACCAGUUAUAUCAUCAGCCCUCUAUGAGACUAAUUAUGAACUUAUGAACAGUGACCCUACCUCUGAUACAAGCAGCAUCUAGAUUCAUGUGAGGCACAAAGCACACGAAAACAUCAAUGGUUCCUGAGCAUGAAUGUAAUAUAUUUUUCACUACCAUUGUCACACUGGCAUUCAUGAGUAUAUUCAGCAAAAUAAGAAUUAAUAUAAGAGAUCCCUUAAGUAAUCAUGUAUUAAUCACACUAAAGACAAAAGACUCUGGAGGACGAGAUGAACUUCAAUCGAAUGUAUAUAUGUAUGUACGUACGUUAACUUGAAUGCAAUACAAAAAUAAAUCUGAGUAAUGAAA